GCCGGGCAUGGUGGCGUUUGCCUGUAGUCCCAGCUACUCAAGGAGGCUGAGGCAGGAGAAUCGCUUGAGCCUGGGAGGCGGAGGUUGCAGUGAGCCAAGAUUGCGCCACUGCACUCCAGCCUGGGCAACAGAGCAAGACUCUGUCUCAA
rnacentral:SRP_RNA from 1 species